AGAGUUUGAUCAUGGCUCAGAUUGAACGCUGGCGGCAUGCUUUACACAUGCAAGUCGAGCGGCAGCGCGGGGGCAACCCUGGCGGCGAGCGGCGAACGGGUGAGUAAUGCAUCGGAACGUGUCCCGUAGUGGGGGAUAACCCGCCGAAAGGCGGGCUAAUACCGCAUAUGCUCUACGGAGGAAAGCGGGGGGACCGCAAGGCCUCGCGCUAUGGGAGCGGCCGAUGUCCGAUUAGCUAGUUGGCGGGGUAAAGGCCCACCAAGGCGACGAUCGGUAGCUGGUCUGAGAGGAUGAUCAGCCACACUGGGACUGAGACACGGCCCAGACUCCUACGGGAGGCAGCAGUGGGGAAUUUUGGACAAUGGGGGCAACCCUGAUCCAGCCAUGCCGCGUGCGGGAAGAAGGCCUUCGGGUUGUAAACCGCUUUUAGUCGGGAAGAAAAGGCGCGGGCUAAUACUCCGUGUUCUUGACGGUACCGGCGGAAUAAGCACCGGCUAACUACGUG
rnacentral:rRNA from 1 species